rnacentral:misc_RNA from 1 species
CGUGGGAGCGAGCUUGCUCGCGAUAGCGUCGGAUCAGCUUGCAUCGAUGUUGAAUGCCAGGCCGUCAUCGCGAGCAAGCUCGCUCCCACA